ACCACCUACGUGCUUUCUGCAGACGAAAGCUUCAUGAGUGACCGUGAACAGGUGCCACCCCAGAAGGAGCGCAAAUUUAUUGUAUUUGAGGGUUGCCUCCUGGAGCUCUUCAAAGUGUGUCGCACCUGCCUUGCCACUUGCCGCAACAACAUCGUAGUCCAGGACACUCAAGUGAAGAUAACAAGCACCUGUGCACAGAACCACGUGGAGCGGUGGUGGAGCCAACCUCAGGUGAGUGGCAAAGCAGCAGGCAAUAUCUUGAUUUGUGCGGGAAUUCUGUUUUCAGAAGCCCGUGUUGCGACUACCCUGCGGUUGCUCAAGUCCAUCAACGUCGCAACAGUCUCGGAGCGCACCUUCCACUACUACCAGCAGGCUUACCUGCUGCCCUCUGUGAAGCAGGUGUACAAGCGGCACAACUCUGAGUUUCUAGAAGGACUCCAAGGAAAGACCAUCGACCUAGCUGGAGAUGGGCGCUGCGACUCGCCAGGGUUUAGUGCAAAAUAUUGCACUUACAGCUUCCACGAGGCGAGCACCAAAAACGUCAUUCACAUUGAGCAGGCGCAAGUCGGUGAGUCAGAGGAGGUGCCCUCCAGCAACGCCAUGGAAAAGGUGGCCUUCGUCCGUGGCUUCACCAAGCUCAAGAAGGAAGACUUCACCAUUGGCUCUUUCAUCUCGGACCGUCACCCAGGCGUUGAGCACCACAUGAGGACCGAAGAAAGGGGCACAAAGCACUACUUCGACACAUGGCACAUUGACAAAGGCUUGAAGAAGAAGCUCCAAGCAGCAAGCCGAAAGAGCGAGUCGAGGGAACUGCAGGUGUGGGUGCAGCCAAUCACGAACCACCUGUACUACUGUGCAGCGCUGGGUGAUGGCAACGGCCCACUCCUAGUAAGUAUGUGGCUCAGCUUACUGAACCACGUGGUGGACAAGCACGAUGGCCACGACGGACCGUUCAGCGAGUGCCUGCACCAGCCACUUUCUGACCGUGCAUGGUUGACUGAGGGAACCCCAGCGUACAACGAGCUCCGGAGCAUUGUUUCAAGCCCGCGGCUCCCCAAGGACAUCAGGCAUCUGUCCCCCGGGUCCCAGACAUCCUCCGUGGAAGCUUUUAACAGCGUACUGAUUGGGUUAGCCUCCAAGUCUCGGGCAUUUACGCCAGAAGGAAUGGAAGCGAGAACCCUGGUUGCUGUGCUGCACUACAAUGAAAACGUUGGGCGGGAGCAGGCCACAACCCGGGAAGGAGUACGGCGCUUCAUGGUCGUCACGUCCAGAGCACGGAAGGGCCAUUCCACAGCACGGCCAAUCCCAAGCGACGCAACGUUUGAGUACCGUGAUGAGCUCAUGGAUGAGGUCAUGACCUGCCUGGAAAAGUGGCCGACCCUGAGGGAAGCCCUCGAGGCGAAUGUGUCGCAGCAUCUGCCACCGAUGUGUGCCAGGUACCCGAGGCCCCCCAAGAGUGACCUGAUUGCGGCCAGACGAUCCCGCUUCAGCUUUCAUGCCGGAUCGUCUCAGGACCAGUCCUGAAGCACCUUUGGUUCCACGCAGCCAAGUCUGCGCCUCAGGCAUGAGGUAGGUAACGGGUAACGCGUAGUGAAGCAAUCAUUUUCCUCCUGCGAGUUUCAGGUGUGCCCUCCGUGCCGCAACGUUACCCUGAGGCAUAUAGAGAAAUGUGUCCUCUGCGGGUACAUUUUUUUGCUGCGAUUUAUUUAACUAAACUGCAUUGCUGUUUCAUUGUUCCUUUCUUU
rnacentral:sRNA from 1 species